rnacentral:rRNA from 1 species
UACGGAGGGGACUAGCGUUGUUCGGAAUUACUGGGCGUAAAGAGUACGUAGGCUGUUGAUCAAGUUGGGUGUGAAAGCCCGGGGCUCAACCCCGGAACUGCACUCAAAACUGGUCAGCUAGAGAUCGGAAGAGGUAAGUGGAAUUCCCAGUGUAGAGGUGAAAGUCGUAGAUAUUGGGAAGAACACCGGUGGCGAAGGCGACUUACUGGUCCGAUACUGACGCUGAGGUACGAAAGCGUGGGGAGCAAACAGG